GACGAACGCUGGCGGCGUGCUUAACACAUGCAAGUCGAACGGAAAGGCCCUGCUUUUGUGGGGUGCUCGAGUGGCGAACGGGUGAGUAACACGUGAGUAACCUGCCCUUGACUUUGGGAUAACUUCAGGAAACUGGGGCUAAUACCGGAUAGGAGCUCCUGCUGCAUGGUGGGGGUUGGAAAGUUUCGGCGGGUGGGGAUGGACUCGCGGCUUAUCAGCUUGUUGGUGGGGUAGUGGCUUACCCAGGCUUUGACGGGUAGCCGGCCUGAGAGGGUGACCGGCCACCUUGGGACUGAGAUACGGCCCAGACUCGUACGGGAGGCAGCAGUGGGGAAUAUUGCACAAUGGGCGGAAGCCUGAUGCAGCAACGCCGCGUGCGGGAUGACGGCCUGCGGGUUGUAAACCGCUUUCGCCUGUGACGAAGCGUGAGUGACGGUAAUGGGUAAAGAAGCACCGGCUAACUACGUG
rnacentral:rRNA from 1 species